rfam:Eimeria maxima Weybridge genomic scaffold, Emw_scaff72
AGUGCAGAUAUUGGUGGCAUUAACAAUAGCAUUAGUAGCCCGUCCUAAGCUAAGCGACAACUUAAUUGCGUUAAUUUUGGGGGUUUGUUGUCCUUGUAUUCAACAAAAAUGAAAAGGAAUCAGGAUAAUAUUCCUAAGUCAGGACAUGUAUACUAUACUGUACGGUAACGUGAAUGAACUCCUUGACGGAGGCGGGUGCCACGGGAAGCGGUGUCUUUGCUUCGUAAAAACCUCGACUAAAUAUACCCUGGAAUCGGAUUGAGAUAGGAUUGACUUGUCGGUAAUGCUUUCUUGCUUCCAGAGAGUUCGGUGCGCUCCUGACUGCACUUGAAUAGAUGAGUGAAAGUUGUUAUUUGCACCCCUGGCCGUACCAUUAGCCGCAUCACGUCUCCAGUGUUAGCAGCCUAU